rnacentral:rRNA from 1 species
CCUACGGGCGGCAGCAGUGGGGAAUAUUGGGCAAUGGGCGCAAGCCUGACCCAGCAACGCCGCGUGAAGGAAGAAGGCUUUCGGGUUGUAAACUUCUUUUAUGAGGGACGAAAGAAAUGACGGUACCUCAUGAAUAAGCCACGGCUAACUACGUGCCAGCAGCCGCGGUAAUACGGAGGUGGCAAGCGUUAUCCGGAUUUACUGGGUGUAAAGGGCGGGUAGGCGGGACUGCAAGUCAGAUGUGAAAAUUAUGGGCUCAACCCAUAAACUGCAUUUGAAACUGUAGUUCUUGAGUGAUGGAGAGGCAGGCGGAAUUCCGGGUGUAGCGGUGAAAUGCGUAGAUAUACGGAGGAACACCAGUGGCGAAGGCGGCCUGCUGGACAUUAACUGACGCUGAGGCGCGAAAGCGUGGGGAGCAAACAGGAUUAGAUACCCUGGUAGUC